AGCAUACAAACGGUAGAGCAUUCGAUUGAUAAUCGAACUGUCAAAGGUUCAAAUCCUUU
rnacentral:tRNA from 1 species